rnacentral:rRNA from 1 species
UGGGGAAUUUUCCGCAAUGGGCGCAAGCCUGACGGAGCAACGCCGCGUGAGGGAGGACUGCCUGAGGGUUGUACACCUCUUUUCUCUAGGAAGAAGAUCUGACGGUACUCGAGGAAUCAGCAUCGGGUAACUCCGUGCCAGCAGCCGCGGUAAGACGGAGGAUGCAAGCGUUAUCCGGAAUUAUUGGGCGUAAAGCGUCCGCAGGCGGCCGUAUAAGUCAACUGUUUAAGACCGGGGCUUAACCCUGGGAGUGCAGUUGAAACUGUGUGGCUUGAGCGUGGUAGGGGUAGAGGGAAUUCCUAGUGUAGCGGUGAAAUGCGUAGAUAUUAGGAAGAACACCAGUGGCGAAGGCGCUCUACUGGGCCAUGACUGACGCUGAUGGACGAAAGCUAGGGGAGCGAAAGGGAUUAGAUACCCCUGUAGUCC